AACGAACGCUGGCGGCAUGCCUAACACAUGCAAGUCGAACGAGACCUUCGGGCCUAGUGGCGCACGGGUGCGUAACGCGUGGGAACCUGCCCUUAGGUUCGGAAUAACUGCCCGAAGGGGGUGCUAAUACCGGAUAAUGUCUUCGGACCAAAGAUUUUUCGCCGUUGGAUGGGGGCGGGUUGGAUUAGGUAGUUGGUAGGGUAAAAGCGUACCAAGGCGACGAUCCAUAGCUGGUCUGAGAGGAUGACCAGUCACGCUGGGAAUGAGACACGGCCCAGAAUCGGACGGGAGGGAGCAGUGGGGAAUAUUGGACGAUGGGGGAAGGCGUGAUCAAGCAAUGCCGGGUGAGUGAUGAAGGGCUUAGGGUUGUAAAGCCCUUUUACCCGGGAUGAUAAUGACAGUACCGGGAGAAGAAGCACCGGCUAACUCCGUG
rnacentral:rRNA from 1 species